rnacentral:rRNA from 1 species
UACGUAGGGUGCGAGCGUUUGUCCGGAAUUAUUGGGCGUAAAGAGCUUGUAGGCGGUCUGUCGCGUCUGCUGUGAAAAUCCGGGGCUCAACCCCGGACUUGCAGUGGGUACGGGCAGACUAGAGUGUGGUAGGGGAGACUGGAAUUCCUGGUGUAGCGGUGAAAUGCGCAGAUAUCGGGAAGAACACCCGUGGCGAAGGCGGUUCUCUGGGACGGUACUGACGCUGAGACGCGAAAGCGUGGGGGAGCGAACAGG